rnacentral:rRNA from 1 species
GUGUCAGCAGCCGCGGUAAUACGUAGGGUGCAAGCGUUAUCCGGAAUUAUUGGGCGUAAAGAGCUCGUAGGCGGUUUGUCGCGUCUGCUGUGAAAACUGGGGGCUCAACCCCCAGCCUGCAGUGGGUACGGGCAGACUAGAGUGCGGUAGGGGAGAUUGGAAUUCCUGGUGUAGCGGUGGAAUGCGCAGAUAUCAGGAGGAACACCGAUGGCGAAGGCAGAUCUCUGGGCCGUAACUGACGCUGAGGAGCGAAAGGGUGGGGAGCAAACAGGCUUAGAUACCCUGGUAGUCCACCCCGUAAACGUUGGGAACUAGUUGUGGGGUCCAUUCCACGGAUUCCGUGACGCAGCUAACGCAUUAAGUUCCCCGCCUGGGGAGUACGGCCGCAAGGCUAAA